rnacentral:rRNA from 1 species
AUUGAACGCUGGCGGCAGGCCUAACACAUGCAAGUCGAACGAGCGGCGGACGGGUGAGUAAUGUAUGGGGACCUGCCCAAUAGCGGGGGAUAACUACUGGAAAAGGUGGCUAAUACCGCAUACUAUUGGAUGAGCCCAUAUUGGAUUAGCUAGUAGGUGGGGUAAAGGCUCACCAAGGCGACGAUCUCUAGCUGGUCUGAGAGGAGGAUCAGCCACACUGGGACUGAGACACGGCCCAGACUCCUACGGGAGGCAGCAGUGGGGAAUUUUGCACAAUGGGCGAAAGCCUGAUGCAGCCAUGCCGCGUGUAUGAUGAAGGCCUUCGGGUUGUAAAGUACUUUUAGCAGGGAAGCGUUACCUGCAGAAUAAGCACCGGCUAACUCCGUGCCAGCAGCCGCGGUAAUAC